rnacentral:rRNA from 1 species
UACGUAGGUGGCAAGCGUUGUCCGGAUUUAUUGGGUUUAAAGGGUGCGUAGGCGGUCUUAUAAGUCAGUGCUGAAAUAUCCCGGCUUAACCGGGAGGGUGGCAUUGAUACUGUAGGACUUGAGUGAAGUCGAGGUAGGCGGAAUUGACGGUGUAGCGGUGAAAUGCUUAGAUAUCGUCAAGAACACCAAUAGUGAAGACAGUUUACUAGACUUCAACUGACGCUGAGGCACGAAAAGUGUGGGGAUCAAAACAGG